GACUAAUGAUGAAUGCUGUGCAACUAGUACUGCAGGAACACUAUAUUGUCCUAUUGAUGAUAGUUAUAUGUGUGCAGCAGGGCCAGGAAAUAAAGGAUCAUGCAUAGGGGAUUCAGGAGGACCACUAGUUACUCAAGGCCUCAAUGGAGCUUUCACUUUAAUUGGAAUUGUUUCAUGGGGAUCAAAAAACUGCACGAAGGAUCAUUUCCCCUCUGUGUAUACUCGGGUUUCAAGACAAGUGGACUGGAUAAGGGAGAAUACUAAAGACGUGGAUGCUACUCAUUUCUAGAGUUUAAGUCACUUUUGUAGAGAAACCACAAUUGAACAAAACCAAUUUGUUGAAGAGAAAUCAUGGAUAUCAUGUGAUACUUGAAAAUACGUUAGCAGUCCCUUUAAAUAGUGGCAUGUCCGAUUCACAAUGGUACCAGUUGUUUGAGAUAUCCAUGAUUUCUCUAAAAUAUCCCUUUUUACUUGUGGUUUCUCUGUAACAGAGACUUGCGGUUUUCAUGCUAAAGAAACGGUGGAGGAAUUGUAAAAAUUGAACGAAAUUAAGACGUAAUUGCAUGGUGACCCUACAUGUUAAAGAUGGGCAUUCCCGAUUUACAAUGGUACCCAUUAAACCUUUAUCAUUUUUCUACCUUGUAAUUGUUUAAUUCGCAAUUAAUCAAGCUUAAAACAACUGUCAUUGUAAUGUCAAGGGUCUCUCCAUAUAAAUAAAUAUAUAAUGUGAAA